rnacentral:rRNA from 1 species
GUAGGGAAUCUUGCGCAAUGGGCGAAAGCCUGACGCAGCAAUGCCGCGUGGGGGAUGAAGGCCUUCGGGUUGUAAACUCCUUUUAGUGGGAACGAAAAUGACGGUACCCACAGAAAAAGCCCCGGCUAACUACGUGCCAGCAGCCGCGGUGAUACGUAGGGGGCAAGCGUUGUCCGGAUUCACUGGGCGUAAAGAGCUCGUAGGUGGUUUGGUAAGUCGGGUGUGAAACCUCCAGGCUCAACCUGGAGUCGCCACUCGAUACUGCCAUGGCUAGAGUCCGGUAGGGGAGCAUGGAAUUCCUGGUGUAGCGGUGAAAUGCGCAGAUAUCAGGAGGAACACCAGUAGCGAAGGCGGUGCUCUGGGCCGGUACUGACACUGAGGAGCGAAAGCGUGGGGAGCGAACAGGAUUAGAUACCCUUGUAGUCC